rnacentral:rRNA from 1 species
AAGUGGCGGCGUGCUAAUACAUGCAGUCGAGCGGAUGUGAUGGGUAAGCCUUUGCUUCCCUUGAAAUUCAGCGGCGGAACGGGUGAAGUAACACGUGGGUAACCUUGCCUGUAAGAACUUGGGAUAACUUCCGGGAAACCGGGGCUAAUACCGGAUAGUUCUUUUCCUCGCAUGAGGAAAAGUGGAAAGGCGGCUUCGGCUGCCACUUACAGAUGGACCCGCGGCGCAUUAGCUAGUUGGUGAGGUAACGGCUCACCAAGGCAACGAUGCGUAGCCGACCUGAGAGGGUGAUCGGCCACACUGGGACUGAGACACGGCCCAGACUCCUACGGGAGGCAGCAGUAGGGAAUCUUCCGCAAUGGACGAAAGUCUGACGGAGCAACGCCGCGUGAGUGAUGAAGGUUUUCGGAUCGUAAAGCUCUGUUGUUAGGGAAGAACAAGUGCCGUUCGAAUAGGGCGGCACCUUGACGGUACCUAACCAGAAAGCCACGGCUAACUACGUGCCAGCAGCCGCGGUAAUACGUAGGUGGCAAGCGUUGUCCGGAAUUAUUGGGCGUAAAGCGCGCGCAGGCGGUCUCUUAAGUCUGAUGUGAAAGCCCACGGCUCAACCGUGGAGGGUCAUUGGAAACUGGGGGACUUGAGUACAGAAGAGGAAAGUGGAAUUCCACGUGUAGCGGUGAAAUGCGUAGAUAUGUGGGAGGAACACCAGUGGGCGAAAGCGACUUUCUGGUCUGUAACUGACGCUGAGCGCGAAAGCGUGGGGGAGCAAACAGGAUUAGAUACCCUGGUAGUCCACCGCCGUAAACGAUGAGUGCUAGUGUUAGAGGGUUUCCGCCCUUUAGUGCUGCAGCUAACGCAUAAGCACUCCGCCUGGGGGGAGUACGGUCGCAGACUGAAACUCAAGAAUUGGACGGGGGCCCGCACAGCGGUGGAGCAUGUGAUUACUCCGAGCCACGCGAGAUCUAACAGUCUGGACAUCUCUGACAUCUAGAGAUAGGUCGUCGCUCGGGGACCACUGACGUAGUGCAAUGGUUGCACGUCAAGCU